GAAUCGUAUUGAUCUGUCAUCACUUUCUUUCAUGAUUCAUUCAUUCAAUUUUUGAUUAGGUUUUUCGUUUUUCCUUGAUUUCAACUGAUUCGGGCUUUGUCUCUUUGCAAUCCGAGACAUCAAGGAUCGAUUCCAUCGGUUUCAACUUUCAAGUCUGAUCUGAGAUUCCCUUGCAUCUUCCACUGAAUUUGACAACGAUCGAGGUAAGAUAAAGUUUUGAUCGAGGUGAUAUGCUUUUGCGUUUUGAUUACAGUCCAAUCGUACUUUGGUUUUAGAAUGUUUGGUCUUUGAUAUAGUGAGACUUAUUUAUUAAUAGAGAUGUUCAACCAAGUAGUUUACAAUUCAUGGUUCUAAGAUGAAUAAAACUAUUAUUAUUUGACAAACUUACUUGCAUUAUCACUUGAGGUUCAUUUCUUUUCUUAAUUCUACAAGCUACGGUUUCAUUGUGAUGAACAUGGAAACAUUUUUUUAUUUUACUUUUGACAUAGGUAUCAGAAUUUACGUUUCUCAUAUGCUAUUAUGACUGAUUUUGUUUUGAAUUUGUUUAUAUAUAUGUUCGUUAGGGUUCUGUUAGAUUCCAUCUUGAAUCCUUGAGAAUAGACUAACCUAUAGCAUUUGAUAUUAGAAAAUUUCAUUAAAGUCACAUUUUCAACAUUUUUUUCUACACAAGUCCACCAUAAUCUUUUUACCCAUAUAAGUCCACUUUUAAGGGUAAGUCUGUCACUUCGUUUUUAUGAUGUUCCUAAAAUACCCCUUUUCCCUAAAAAUCAGUUUCUCUCUUCUAGUCUCUCUUCAUUCUUUUUAGAUGGCUCGUUUUCACUUUCCUCUCUUCAUCUUCCUCCUCCCUUUCUUCUCCAAGCUUGAAUCUGCGGCCAUGGCGGCGUCUUAGGCCAACAGCGACUAGAAGAUGAUGCUCGACGCCGCUGGAUAGACGACGACGACGUCUCGACCUCAACGUUGCUGGCUCGACCUCAACAUCGCCAGAUCGACAACAAAGACGCUCGGAUCUUGACGCCGCUAGAUCGACGACGACGUUUUCGGAUCAAAGUUGACGCCUUGAUCUCGAUGUUGCCAGAUCGAUGGCGACGACGCCUAGAUCUCGACGCCGCUGGAUCGUUGACGUCGUAUCGGCUCCGUCGUCUCUCAUACAUCAACAACGCUCGGCCCAGACUCAUCAUCAGCUGUGGUCGGAGUCGGGAGCUCCUCAUCUAUCUCUUCUCUGCUUCAAUUUCUUCGCCAGACUCCUCCUCAUUAUCUCUUCCCAUUUUUAAAGUUCUUUGCCUUAUAAUUGUGAUAGUAGCUUUCGAAAAUCAUGUGAAUUUGGAUAUUGAAGCCUCUCUUAACCAAGAGAUCAUUCUACUAACCAAGAAAUAUGUGAAAUGAAGUCGUCUGUUAAUCGAGGAUGG